GUACUCUGGUUUCUCUUCAGAUUGCAUAAAUCUUUUGCCUUUUACUAAAGAUUUCCGUGGAGAGGAAAAAUUCUGAGUCUUAACCCAAUUUUUUAAGUCCUUGUUUUUACGAGGUU
rnacentral:snRNA from 1 species